GCACUGCUGAAGAGUUCCACAAUAGGACGAAGCGGUCGUCCAAUGU
rnacentral:hammerhead_ribozyme from 1 species